UUUGUUUUUGUUUUGUUUGGGUUUUUGUUUAUUUUGACUUUUGUUUUACUUUCUCUUUUUCUUGAAGCAAACCCCUUCUACCCUUAAUGAAUGGAAUAUAAGAAUCUGUAGCAGUUAACCUUCUGCAUAACAAUGUCCAUGAGAAACAUUUCCUCCCCAUUCCACUGAGAGCACUGCGUCUCUUCUCAAGAUAGGAGAAAAAAAAGGUGACAGGUGUAACUCCUAUAGGAUAUGCAAGUUCUGUAUUGAGAAAGAGUGCAUCAAAG
rnacentral:lncRNA from 12 species